GAGGCCUGAAGCUACAUCGAUUAGGAAAGAAGUGAAAAGUUCCAGUCUGGGAAGAGAUUUGAUCGAGUCUAUAGAGUCUCAUACUAAACCUGAGGAGGUUAUUGGUCUACUUGAAGCUGGAGCUGAUCCUAAUGUUACUAAGUAUACAUCUGGUAAUAACCCUGCUCUUAUUAGAGCCAUUGAAAAAGGUAAUACUGAUAUUGUUGAAUUGUUACUGGAGAAAGGAG